rnacentral:rRNA from 1 species
UACAGAGGUCUCAAGCGUUGUUCGGAUUCAUUGGGCGUAAAGGGUGCGUAGGCGGCGCGGUAAGUCGGGUGUGAAAUCUUGGAGCUUAACUCCGAAACUGCAUUCGAUACUGCCGUGCUUGAGGACUGGAGAGGAGACUGGAAUUUACGGUGUAGCGGUGAAAUGCGUAGAUAUCGUAAGGAAGACCAGUGGCGAAGGCGGCUCACUGGCCCGUAACUGACGCUGAGGUGCGAAAGCGUGGGGAGCGAACAGG